rnacentral:rRNA from 1 species
UACGUAGGGUGCAAGCGUUGUCCGGAAUUAUUGGGCGUAAAGAGCUCGUAGGCGGUUUGUUGCGUCGGCUGUGAAAUUUCGGGGCUCAACCCCGAACUUGCAGUGGGUACGGGCAGACUAGAGUGUGGUAGGGGGAGACUGGAAUUCCUGGUGUAGCGGUGAAAUGCGCAGAUAUCAGGAGGAACACCGAUGGCGAAGGCGAGUCUCUGGACAUUUCCUGACGCUGAGGCACGAAAGCGUGGGGAUCAAACAGG